rnacentral:rRNA from 1 species
UUUUGCAAAACCAUAGCGGAGGAAAAGAAACUAACAAGGAUUCCCCUAGUAACGGCGAGUGAAGCGGGAAGAGCUCAAAUUUGAAAUCUGGUAGCCUUCGGUUGCCCGAGUUGUAAUCUAGAGAAGUGUUUUCCGUGCCGGCCCAUGUACAAGUCCCUUGGAACAGGGCGUCAUAGAGGGUGAGAAUCCCGUCCUUGACAUGGACCCCCGGUGCUUUGUGAUACACUUUCAACGAGUCGAGUUGUUUGGGAAUGCAGCUCAAAAUGGGUGGUGAAUUCCAUCUAAAGCUAAAUAUUGGCGAGAGACCGAUAGCGAACAAGUACCGUGAGGGAAAGAUGAAAAGCACUUUGGAAAGAGAGUUAAACAGUACGUGAAAUUGUUGAAAGGGAAACGAUUGAAGUCAGUCAUGCUCUUGGGACUUACCUCCCUUGAGUGGGGUCAACAUCAGUUUUGAUCGAUGGAUAAAGGCACGGGGAAGGUAGCACUCUCGGGUGAACUUAUAGCCUCGCGUCAUAUACAUUGAUUGGGACUGAGGAACGCAGCAUGCCUUAUGGCCGGGAUUCGUCCACGUACAUGCUUAGGAUGUUGACAUAAUGGCUUUAAACGACCCGUCUUGACCACCCGAAACA